rnacentral:rRNA from 1 species
ACUUGACUAGCUGAGAGGAGUGCAUGGCCGUCGUCAGUCGUACUGUGAAGCAUCCUGUUAAGUCAGGCAACGAGCGAGACCCACGCCAACAGUUGCCAGCUCGUCCUCCGGGGAUGGUGGGGACACUGUUGGGACCGCCUCGUGCUAAAGAGGAGGAAGGGAAUGGGCAACGGUAGGUCAGUAUGCCCCGAAUAUCCCGGGCUACACGCGAGCUACAAUGGUUGGUACAAUGGGUAUCUACCCCGAAAGGGGACGGGAAUCUCCUAAAACCAAUCUUAGUUCGGAUUGAGGGCUGCAACUCGCCCUCAUGAAGCUGGAAUCCGUAGUAAUCGCGUUUCAACAGAACGCGGUGAAUACCGUCCCUGCUCCUU